rnacentral:rRNA from 1 species
GACAGAGGGUGCAACCGUUGUUCGGAAUUACUGGGCGUAAAGCGUGUGUAGGCGGCCACGUAAGUCGGAUGUGAAAGCCCCGGGCUCAACCCGGGAAGUGCACUCGAUACUGCGUGGCUUGAGUACUGGAGAGGUUGGUGGAAUUCUCGGUGUAGAGGUGAAAUUCGUAGAUAUCGAGAGGAACACCGGGGGCGAAGGCGGCCAACUGGACAGAUACUGACGCUGAGACACGAAAGCGUGGGGAGCAAACAGG